GUGCCAGCCGCCGCGGUAAUACGGAGGGGGUUAGCGUUGUUCGGAAUUACUGGGCGUAAAGCGCGCGUAGGCGGAUCGGAAAGUUGGGGGUGAAAUCCCGGGGCUCAACCCCGGAACUGCCCUCAAAACUGUCGGUCUAGAGUCCGGGAGAGGUGAGUGGAACUCCGAGUGUAGAGGUGAAAUUCGUAGAUAUUCGGAAGAACACCAGUGGCGAAGGCGGCUCACUGGCCCGGUACUGACGCUGAGGUGCGAAAGCGUGGGGAGCAAACAGGAUUAGAAACCCUGGUAGUCC
rnacentral:rRNA from 1 species